GGGGGUAUGGCGAAAUUGGCAAACGCAGCGGACUUAAAAUCCGCCGGCUUCGGCCUUGUGGGUUCGAGCCCCACUGCCCCUA
rnacentral:tRNA from 2 species